AAAUUUAUGCAGUGGCAGUGUUGUAGCCAAUGAGGUUUAUCGAAGGCAUGUUUACUGCUAAUUGAAUUCUUUUCCUAAUGCCCCACCAUGAUGACUUGAAAUAUAAUCAUCAUUUGCAAUUACUUUCAAAUAAG
rnacentral:snRNA from 1 species